rnacentral:sRNA from 1 species
ACCAUCUUCAAAAAAGCAGAAGUAAGAGAACGGCGUCAGAAAGCACCUCGCCGACAAGUAGUGUAGUGAACAGUAAAGCCAAAGAACAGUUUAAAAAGACCGUUCAGCAGACUAUAGAGACGGUGAGAGGAGAAACUACUUAAAAGUUUACAAUGCCUGUUUUCAAUCGGUAUUGCCUCUUUUGGACUUCAAGGUCUGGUAAAACUCUCAGGAAAUUCAGAAGUGCAAUUCAUAACAGUGACCAAGGCGUCUCUGAUUUUGCAUGUAGAUACAGAAUACAUGUAGGACGUUUAGACAUAAUGGAUAGCGUGUAACACAGUGGAACGGAGGCAUAUGAAAACAACAGAAGAAGCGCCCACUGAAACUUUUAUACUAAUAGUGAUAGUGAUAUUGCUGAUUUAAAAACAAUUAGCCGCUUUGCAAAAAUUGAUUUAGUAUUCACAAAAUUAUAUUUAUAAAUGAAUUUCCUAAAGUAUUUAGAUUUAGGAGAAAAUUUGUAUUAAACAAUUGUGGAUGUGUUUUAUAUUUUGAUAUUAUAAUUCUUUUAUCAUCAAAUAAUCGUUUUCCUUUCAUCGUAAUUUAAAAUAGUUAUCAAAGAAUCUGUAUUUUGGCUUUUGUCGGAAACAUUUUGGUACCAAAUUAAUAAAAAUGUGCUGUGCUUUGGUCACCUAAGUACAUCUUACUCUAAUGAUCAUAUGCAUGUAACAGUUUUGAUUACUUUCAUAACAGGUAAAUAAAAACAAUCGACUGCUAUAAUUACAAGUACUAGUAUGUGUAAAGAAAAUGCGAAUAUUCGUGAAAGUUGCGAUUUUUUUUCUGCAUGGCAAUUCAUCUGUACAAAUUCACUAAAUGCAUUUCAUCUGUUAAUGGCUUUGUUGAAUACUAGUAUAUAUUGUGUGGUUAAAUACUAGUAGACUAUAUAUAUAAUCUUAAUUAGAAGGGAAGAUUUUAGCAUUUCACCGUGGGAUUGCUCGAGGUGGUCUGUGAUAUAUGUUGAUAUUUAUAUGGAUUAAAGUACAUUAUAAUUAAAAUACUUUCACUGGU